CUGAAGGUCGACGAUGAAAGAUGAUUCUUCGGCGGCCCCGCAAUCCGUGCCGAACGUGUUCUACGGUAUCGACGGCGAAAGGAUUCUGUGAAAGAACCGCCUGCAUUGGAGAUCGAGUCUACCGAGUGCCCCGUUUCGAAUAGGAACCACGUCCUAAAGUGAAAAAGCCGACGGUGGACUGUUCGCAACAGACGUGCGGGAGCUUACCAACCUUGUUAGGAAGAUCGUCUUCGCUGUAAUUAACUCUCUAGGAAGAUCGUCUUCGCUAUCGUGUACUCGAGUUCUGAUGAAUGUUUGUUUACCCGCACAGGCCACCGGAAACGGAACCCCAGUAGCUUUGGUUUGCUAGACUCAUCCCCAAAUGACAUUCCAAGUGAUUUUUGUGCAGUACAACUCUUGGCCACAACCAUGGCUUAUUCCUAGUUCCCGGCAUCCAUUUCUGGUAAUGGUGAGGUGGAAACUUUGUAAUGAAGAAAUCUGCCACCAGACAAAAUGUCUUGCUAACCAAAGGGACACACAGUGACUGGUGUAACACGGCUGCAACACGGUAGUUUGGACCAUAGAAAGGAUCACUGAUAGCAGGGC